rnacentral:rRNA from 1 species
GACGAACCGUGCGAACGUUGUUCGGAAUUACUGGGCGUAAAGGGCGCGUAGGCGGUCUACUAAGUUGGAAUGUGAAAACUCUGGGCUUAACCCAGAGCCUGCAUUCAAAACUGAUAGGCUGGAGUUCUGGAGGGGAUAGCGGAAUUCCUGGUGUAGCGGUGAAAUGCGUAGAUAGUCAGGAAGAACACCUAUGGCGAAGGCAGCUCUCUGGGACGGUACUGGACGCUGAGCACGCGAAAGCGUGGGGAGCGAACAGG